rnacentral:rRNA from 1 species
UACGGGGGGGGCAAGCGUUGUUCGGAAUUACUGGGCGUAAAGGGCGAGUAGGUGGCCAUCUAAGUCAGACGUGAAAUCCCCCGGCUUAACCUGGGAACUGCGUCGGAUACUGGAUGGCUUGAAUUCGGGAGAGGGAUGCAGAAUUCCAGGUGUAGCGGUGAAAUGCGUAGAUAUCAGGAGGAACACCGGUGGCGAAGGCGGGUCUCUGGGCAACAACUGACGCUGAGGAGCGAAAGCGUGGGGAGCGAACAGG